rnacentral:rRNA from 1 species
CCUACGUGUGGCUGCAGUGGGGAAUAUUGGACAAUGGGCGAAAGCCUGAUCCAGCCAUGCCGCGUGUGUGAAGAAGGCCUUCGGGUUGUAAAGCACUUUCAGUGGGGAAGAAAGCCUUGGGGCUAAUACCCUCGAGGAAGGACAUCACCCACAGAAGAAGCACCGGCUAACUCCGUGCCAGCAGCCGCGGUAAUACGGAGGGUGCGAGCGUUACUCGGAAUUACUGGGCGUAAAGCGCGCGUAGGCGGUCUGAUAAGCCGGUUGUGAAAGCCCCGGGCUCAACCUGGGAACGGCAUCCGGAACUGUCAGGCUAGAGUGCAGGAGAGGAAGGUAGAAUUCCCGGUGUAGCGGUGAAAUGCGUAGAGAUCGGGAGGAAUACCAGUGGCGAAGGCGGCCUUCUGGACUGACACUGACGCUGAGGUGCGAAAGCGUGGGUAGCAAACAGGAUUAGAUACCCCAGUAGUC